rnacentral:rRNA from 1 species
AGAGCGUAGGGCGAAUGCCUUGGCAUCAAGAGCCGAAGAAGGACGUGGCAAGCUGCGAAAAGCUGUGGAUAGCUGCAAACAAGCAUUGACCCACAGAUAUCCGAAUGAGGGAACUCGGCGGUGGUAAUGCGCCGUCACCGUAUAAUGAAUACAUAGUUAUACGGAGGGAACCCGGUGAACUGAAACAUCUAAGUAGCCGGAGGAAAAGAAAGAAAGAUCGAUUCUCCUAGUAGCGGCGAGCGAACGGGGAAGAGCCCAAACCGAAAGUCUUCGGAUUUUCGGGGUUGCGGGCCGACGGACGUGAUCUGAUGAGUUUAGCAGAAUAGGUAUGGAAAUACCAGCCGAAGAGAGUAAAAGCCUCGUAAGCGAAAAACAAGUCAGCACAGUCGGUACCAGAGUACCACCGGACACGUGAAACCCGGUGGGAAGCAGGUGGGACCACCCACCAAGGCUAAAUACUACUUGAUGACCGAUAGCGAAUAGUACCGUGAGGGAAAGGUGAAAAGAACCCCGGGAGGGGAGUGAAAGAGAACCUGAAACCCUAUGCUUACAAGCAGAUGGAGCACUAUUAGAGAGUGUGACAUUGUACUUUUUGUAGAACGGGCCAGCGAGUUACGAUAUGCAGCGAGGUUAAGGCGUUAAGCGCCGGAGCCGCAGGGAGACCGAGUCUUAAUAGGGCGCGAGUUGUAUGUUGUAGACCCGAAACCGGGCGACCUACCCAUGAGCAGGUUGAAGCGGUGGUAAGACACCGUGGAGGACCGAACCACACGCACGUUGAAAAGUGCGGGGAUGACUUGUGGGUAGCGGAGAAAUUCCAAUCGAGCUCGGAGAUAGCUGGUUCUCCUCGAAAUAGCUUUAGGGCUAGCCUCACUUGAAGAUAUAUGGGGGUAGAGCACUGAAUGGGCUAGGGGGUCUCAAAGCUUACCGAACCUUAUCAAACUACGAAUACCAUAUAUUACCUAAGUGGGAGUCAGACGGCGUGAGAUAAGUUUCGUCGUCAAAAGGGAAAGAGCCCAGAUCAUCAGCUAAGGCCCCAAAGUGCAGGUUAAGUGGAAAAGGAUGUGGGACUGCAUAGACAACUAGGAUGUUGGCUUAGAAGCAGCCACUCAUUUAAAGAGUGCGUAAUAGCUCACUAGUCGAGAGAUCCUGCGCCGAAAAUGUCCGGGGCUCAAACUUACCACCGAAGCUACGGGCUUGCGUAAGCAAGCGGUAGGGGAGCGUCGUAAUCGGGCUGAAGUCGUACCGUAAGGAGCGGUGGACUGAUUACGAGUGAGAAUGUUGGCAUUAGUAGCGAGAUGUAGGUGAGAAUCCUACAGGCCGAAUAUCUAAGGUUUCCUCAGGAAGGCUCGUCCGCUGAGGGUUAGUCGGGACCUAAGCCGAGGCCGAAAGGCGUAGGCGAUGGACAAUCGGUUGAUAUUCCGAUACCACUACCAUCGUUAUUAUCGAGGGUGUGACGGAGAAGGAUAGUGUGUGCUAGCGAUUGGAAAUGCUAGUCUAAGCGUUUAGGCAGUUACGGUAGGCAAAUCCGCUGUAACGUUAAUGCUGAGGCGUGAUGGGGAAGGCCCUUGAGGCUGAAGUACAUGAUUCCAUGCUUCCAAGAAAAGCAUCUAGAGAGAGAAGUAGUGCCCGUACCGCAAACCGACACAGGUAGAUGAGGAGAGAAUCCUAAGGCCGGCGGAAGAAUUGCAGUUAAGGAACUAGGCAAAUUGACCCCGUAAGUUCGCGAGAAGGGGUGCCUGCGAGAGCAGGCCGCAGAGAAUAGGCCCAAGCAACUGUUUAGCAAAAACACAGGUCUCUGCUAAAGCGCAAGCUGAUGUAUAGGGGCUGACGCCUGCCCGGUGCUGGAAGGUUAAGGGGAACACUUAGCGCAAGCGAAGGUGUGAACUUAAGCCCCAGUAAACGGCGGCCGUAACUAUAACGGUCCUAAGGUAGCGAAAUUCCUUGUCAGGUAAGUUCUGACCCGCACGAAUGGCGUAAUGACUUGGGCACUGUCUCAACUGCAAAUCCGGCGAAGUUGUAGUGCGAGUGAAGAUGCUCGCUACCCGCGAUUGGACGGAAAGACCCCGUAGAGCUUUACUGUAGCUUAGCAUUGAAUUCCGGUAUUGUCUGUACAGGAUAGGUGGGAGACUGGGAAACUAGGGCGUCAGCCUUAGUGGAGUCGUCCUUGGGAUACCACCCUGACAGUACUGGGGUUCUAACAGGACGCCAUGAAUCUGGUGACUGGACAUUGUUAGGUGGGCAGUUUGACUGGGGCGGUCGCCUCCUAAAAAGUAACGGAGGCGCCCAAAGGUUCCCUCAGAACGGUCGGAAAUCGUUCGUAGAGUGCAAAGGCAGAAGGGAGCCUGACUGCGAGACCUACAAGUCGAGCAGGGACGAAAGUCGGGCUUAGUGAUCCGGUGGUACCUCGUGGGAGGGCCAUCGCUCAACGGAUAAAAGCUACCUCGGGGAUAACAGGCUGAUCUCCCCCAAGAGUCCACAU